GAUGAACGCGGCGGCGCGCCUAACACAUGCAAGUCGAACGAUUAAAGCACCUUCGGGUGUGUAUAAAGUGGCGAAAGGGCUGAGUAACACGUGGGCAACCUGCCCCUCUCAUUGGGAUAGCCACGGGAAACCGUGGAUAAUACCGAAUACUUCGGGACUUCCGCAUGGAAGACUCGAGAAAGCUCCGGCGGAGAGGGAUGGGCCCGCGGCCUGUUAGCUUGUUGGUGGGGUAACGGCCUACCAAGGCAAUGAUGGGUAGCUGGGUUGAGAGACCGACCAGCCAGAUUGGGACUGAGACACGGCCCAGACUCCUACGGGAGGCAGCAGUGGGGAAUCUUGCACAAUGGGCGAAAGCCUGAUGCAGCGACGCCGCGUGCGGGAUGAAGGCCUUCGGGUUGUAAACCGCUUUCAGCAGGGACGAGGCGAAAGUGACGGUACCUGCAGAAGAAGCCCCGGCUAACUACGUGCCAGCAGCCGCGGUAAUACGUAGGGGGCAAGCGUUAUCCGGAUUCAUUGGGCGUAAAGCGCUCGUAGGCGGUCUGUUAGGUCGGGAGUUAAAUCCGGGGGCUCAACCCCCGUUCGCUCCCGAUACCGGCAGACUUGAGUUUGGUAGGGGAAGGUGGAAUUCCUAGUGUAGCGGUGGAAUGCGCAGAUACUAGGAGGAACACCAGUGGCGAAGGCGGCCUUCUGGGCCAUAACUGACGCUGAGGAGCGAAAGCUAGGGGAGCAAACAGG
rnacentral:rRNA from 1 species